rnacentral:rRNA from 1 species
UACGUAGGGGGCAAGCGUUGUCCGGAAUCAUUGGGCGUAAAGAGCGCGUAGGCGGUUCGGUAAGUCCGCUCUGAAAGUCCGGGGCUCAACCCCGGGAGGCGGGCGGAUACUGUCUGGCUAGAGUCCGGAAGAGGCGAGUGGAAUUCCUGGUGUAGCGGUGAAAUGCGCAGAUAUCAGGAGGAACACCAAUGGCGAAGGCAGCUCGCUGGGACGGAACUGACGCUGAGGCGCGAAAGCGUGGGGAGCAAACAGG